rnacentral:miRNA from 1 species
UAGUGACAGAGCGAGACCUUGU